GGGGAAAAAUUAAUAAAUUAAUAUAAUAAAAAAACUUUUAAAUAAUAUUUAAUGGGGGUUAAAGUAUUUUAAAAGAAAAAAUUAUUUAAUUUAUAGUAAAUUAGUAUUGUGAAAGAAAUUUGAAAUAAUUAAAAAAAAAAUUAAUUAUAAGUAAUUUUAAUUUAAUGUAUCUUGUGUAUCAGAGUUUAUUAAAAAAAAUUUUUAUAUAAAUAAUUCUCGAAUUUAAAAGAGAUAAUUAAUUAAAAAAGUUAUUGUUGCAUAAAUAUUUUAAAUAAUUAAUUGGAAAUGAAAUGUUAAUCGUUUUUAAAUAUAUCUAGUUUUUUUAGAAAAAAAUUUAAUUUUAAAUUUAUUUUAAAUAUAUUUAAUUAAUUAAAUAUAUUUAAAAUAAAUUUUAUAUUUUAAGGGAUAAGCUUUAAAAUAAAUUAAUAUAAUUAAUUUAAAUUUAAUAUUGAAAAUUUUAUAAUUUAUAUUGUUAAUAAAAUUUAAUUUAUUAAAAAUAAUUUCAUUUAAAAUAAAAUUUAAAAAAAAAUUUAUAAAUUUAUAAAAAAAAAUUAUAAAUUAAAUAAUAAUUAAUAUAAUGAUAAAAUUAGUAUAAAAUAAAUAAUAUUUUUAAUAAAAAAUAUUAUUAAAAUUAAUUAAAAGGAAUUCGGCAAAAAUACAUAUUCACUUGUUUAUCAAAAACAUGUCUUUUUGAAAAUAAUAUAAAGUCUAAUCUGCCCACUGAUUUUAAGAUUGAAGGGCUGCAGUAUAUUGACUGUACAAAGGUAGCAUAAUCAUUAGUCAUUUAAUUGGUGACUUGUAUGAAAGAUUGGAUGAAAUAUGAUCUGUCUCUUAAUUAAAUUAUAGAAUUUAAUUUUUUAUUUAAAAAGAUAAAAUAAAUUAAAAAGACGAGAAGACCCUAUAGAGUUUUAUAAUUAAUUAAAUUGAAAUUAUUUAUAUGUAAAAUAAAUUAAAAUUAAAUUAAUUAUUUUGUUGGGGUGACAGAAAAAUUAAAAAAACUUUUUUUAUAUAAAAACAAUUAUAAUUGAAUUCAUGAUCCAAUUUUAUUGAUUAUAAGAAAAAAUUACCUUAGGGAUAACAGCGUAAUUUUUUUUUUUAGUUCAAAUAAGAAAAAGAGUUUGCGACCUCGAUGUUGGAUUAAGAUAAAAUUUAAAUGCAGAAGUUUAAAGUUUUUGAUCUGUUCGAUCAUUAAAAUCUUACAUGAUCUGAGUUCAGACCGGUGUGAGCCAGGUUGGUUUCUAUCUUUUAAUAGUUUAAAUAUUUUAGUACGAAAGGAUUAAAUAUUUUAAUUAAAUUUAAUAUUUUGAAUAUUAAUAAAUAUAAAUAAA
rnacentral:rRNA from 1 species